rnacentral:rRNA from 1 species
GCAUAUCAAUAAGCGGAGGAAAAGAAACCAACAGGGAUUGCCUCAGUAACGGCGAGUGAAGCGGCAACAGCUCAAAUUUGAAAUCUGGCCUCACGGUCCGAGUUGUAAUUUGUAGAGGAUGUUUCGAACGCGGUCCGGUCUAAGUUCCUUGGAACAGGACGUCAUAGAGGGUGAGAAUCCCGUAUGCGACUGGGUGCCUAAGUUCAUGUGAAACUCCUUCGACGAGUCGAGUUGUUUGGGAAUGCAGCUCAAAAUGGGUGGUAAAUUUCAUCUAAAGCUAAAUAUUGGCCAGAGACCGAUAGCGCACAAGUAGAGUGAUCGAAAGAUGAAAAGCACUUUGGAAAGAGAGUUAAACAGUACGUGAAAUUGUUGAAAGGGAAGCGCUUGCAACCAGACUUGCACGCAGUCGAUCAUCCGGUGUUCUCACCGGUGCACUCGAUUGUGUUCAGGCCAGCAUCGGUUUUGGUGGUUGGAUAAAGGCCUUGGGAAUGUAGCUCCUCUCGGGGAGUGUUAUAGCCCUUGGUGCAAUGCAACCUACCGGGACCGAGGACCGCGCUUCGGCUAGGAUGCUGGCGUAAUGGUUGUAAGCGACCCGUCUUGAAACACGGACC